UGGGGAAUUUUGGACAAUGGGGGAAACCCUGAUCCAGCCAUCCCGCGUGUGCGAUGAAGGCCUUCGGGUUGUAAAGCACUUUUGGCAGGAAAGAAACGUCAUGGGUUAAUACCCCGUGAAACUGACGGUACCUGCAGAAUAAGCACCGGCUAACUACGUGCCAGCAGCCGCGGUAAUACGUAGGGUGCAAGCGUUAAUCGGAAUUACUGGGCGUAAAGCGUGCGCAGGCGGUUCGGAAAGAAAGAUGUGAAAUCCCAGAGCUCAACUUUGGAACUGCAUUUUUAACUACCGGGCUAGAGUGUGUCAGAGGGAGGUAGAAUUCCGCGUGUAGCAGUGAAAUGCGUAGAAAUGCGGAGGAACACCGAUGGCGAAGGCAGCCUCCUGGGAUAACACUGACGCUCAUGCACGAAAGCGUGGGGAGCAAACAGG
rnacentral:rRNA from 1 species